rnacentral:rRNA from 1 species
GGUUUUCUGAGUAUAUAUAGAAAAUCAGGCCUGCCCACUGAUGAAAUUUAAAGGGCUGCAGUAUUUUGACUGUACAAAGGUAGCAUAAUCAUUAGUCUUUUAAUUAAGGACUGGUAUGAAAGGUUAGACGGAAUUUUACUGUCUCUGGAGCUUGUGGUGAAUUUAUUUUUUUGUGAGAAAACAAAAAUGAUUUAAAGGGACAAAAAGACCCUAUUAAACUUUAAUUUUGCUUUUAUGUUAUUAUAGUUAUUAAGUUACUAUUUAAGUAGGUUUUUAUUGGGGCGAUAAGUUUAAUACAUAAUUUAUUUUUAAUAAAUGAUUAACAGUAUCUAAAGAUCCAUUUGGUUGAUAAUGAGAAUAAGUUACUAUAGGGAUAACAGCGUAAUAUAUUCUGAGAGUUCUUAUUGACGAAUUUGUUUGCGACCUCGAUGUUGGAUUAAGAAUUCUAGUUGGCGCAGAAGUUAGCUAAGAGGGUCUGUUCGACCUUUAAUUUCUU